rnacentral:lncRNA from 1 species
UUUUAAGUUCUGUAUAAUUUUUUAUUGGUUUUAUAUAAAAUAUAUAAAAAAACAAAAAUACACUUAGAAUAAUAUAAUGGGUAAAGAACACCAACAAUCACCCAACUUUCAAAAAAUAACAAAUCAAUCCUACUAACCUUUUUCCGUUAUAGAUGUAACGAAAAAGUGACUUGUCAUUUAACCAGCCACGUUGGAGUCCUUACUGUCAUUUAAUCGGCCACGUUGGAGGGUUUGUUGUCAUUUAAACAAUAGUAGAAGAGGAGGAGGAGGAGGAGAAGCCAAAUUCCUAAUAUGAAAGGUCGUUCGAUUAUACCAAGAAGGUGCAAAAAAGAAAAAAAAAUAGUACUAACUACUAACCAUUAGAGAUUGAAGAACAAAGAGAAGCAUUUGCAUCCAUAUCACCAAUAAGGCCGUCAUUUUGAUCACUAGCAAGGCUCUGCUAAAAACAUAUAAGAGAAGUCAAGACUCAUAAAUAGAGAGCAAAAAAAAAAAAGAGAGACAACUAAUCGAAAUCCAAGAAAAAAAAAAGAAGACUUUAUAGAGAUGAGAUAUAGCAAAAGAAAGACUAAAGAGGAAAGAGAGAAGUUUAGGUCUUCUUCUCCUGUAAUAACCAGGGCUCAUCCACACGAAAACAAGGGUCCCUGCCUCUUCAUCUCCACCCUUUGUCAACUAAUUGUAAUGACUCAACCCAAAAAAAGAGAGAGGAAAUCUAUAAAAGCCCCAGUUCCCAAUAGAACUUAACCCUAGAUCUAGAAAUCAUUAAGAAAAUCUAUAAAAUUGAGGUUGAUUCACAGAGGAAACAUCGUUAAGGAAAACUAUAAAAUUGUUAAGGAAGCUUACAAAUCAAUUGGAAGAUCUUCUUCACCAGGUUAAGUGACGGGAAGUUGGGAGGGGGUGAAUAAACGGUGAGGAAGGAAAAGUUUGGAUCUCUGGUAGUUUUUCUUGUUUCAGCAUCUCCAUUUCUUCUCUUCUUCUUCUCCUCCUCCUCCUUUUUAUUUUUCUUCCUCUUUUAUUGUUUUGUUUGGUUCUUAAAUUAGG